AGUGAACGCUGGCGGCGUGCUUAACACAUGCAAGUCGAACGAGAACGGAAUAUAGCUUGCUAUAUUUGUCAGCUAAGUGGCGCACGGGUGAGUAAUGUAUAGAUAACCUGCCCUUAAGAAAGGAAUAACAGUUGGAAGCGACUGCUAAUGCCCUAUAUGCCUUGAAUACAUAAGUAUGCAAGGGAAACGCUUUUGUGCUUAAGGAUGGGUCUGUAUGGUAUCAGCUUGUUGGUGAGGUAAUGGCUCACCAAGGCUUUGACGCCUAACUGGUUUGAGAGGAUGAUCAGUCACACUGGAACUGAGACACGGUCCAGACUCCUACGGGAGGCAGCAGUGGGGAAUAUUGCACAAUGGACGAAAGUCUGAUGCAGCAACGCCGCGUGGAGGAUGACACAUUUCGGUGCGUAAACUCCUUUUAUAUAGGAAGAUAAUGACGGUACUAUAUGAAUAAGCACCGGCUAACUCCGUGCCAGCCGCCGCCGUAA
rnacentral:rRNA from 1 species